CGUAGUCUGCCAUACGCAGGAAGACCCCUGAACUGAAGCAUCUCAUUAAGCGGAGGAAAAGAAACUAACUAGGAUUCCCUUAGUAAAGCGAUCGAAAAGGAACAGCCCAACGUCUUAAUCCCGCAAGGAAAUGUAGUCGGUUCACCUAUUGCACUGGUAAGUCAGAUGGAAUGCUGCGCGAUUCAGAGAAAAGCCUCGUAUGACAACCGCAAGCUUCGAUGACCGGGAGAGUCGGAUACUUGAGAGUAGUGUCUAAGGGUGGUUGUCCCAUCCAAGGCUAAAUAACGUGAGGAGACCGAUAGAUUACAAGUAGUGUGAACGAAAGAUGAAAAGAACUCUAAAACAGGGAAAAGUUCCUGAACUUGCUUAGGGUUAAGGCUAUUUAUAGUACCCGUCUUGAAACACGAUUAGGGAGUUUAUCUGUAGUGCGAUCUUUGCACGUUAACUGUAAAGGCUAGAGAAAGCAACUGCGUUUGCAUGGCUACUGAGCAUUACUGAUAGACCCGAAAGGUGGUGAACUUUGCCUGCACAGGUUGAUCAGGGAAACUCUGAUGGAGACCGUACGGUUAUUGAUGUGCAAAUCAUUUUUCUGAUGUAGGUAAAGGUGCGAAAGACUCAUCGAACCACCUAAUAGCUGGUUUCCUCCGAAGUUUCCCUCAGGAUAGCUGUAAUGCAUUUAGUUAAGGGAGUAGAAUAUGGUAGAGGCAGGAGCCUUCGGUUCUCAACUUAUUUCCAAACUUCGAACCUCCUUGUUAGCAUUACCUAACUGGAAAUGCUUAAAUGAAUUAGCGUUACAAGUGGCUCUGACCGGUAAGCGUCAUGGCGAAAUGGAUGAACCAUACGUCUGAAUAAGGUGCCGAAAUGUAUAUCACUGAUACCAUAAAGGAGUCCAUGUAUUUAGACAGCAGGUCGGUGCCCCUAAAAGCAGGUAUCCGCUAAAGAGUUGUUAAAACUCACCUGCCGAAUACUAGGGCCCCGAAAAUGAAUGGCGCAUAUAGUACUACCGAUCUCAACAUCAUUCUAUUGAACUGAGAGUAGGGGAUGUGGACAUUUUUGUGAAGGUGCAAUGUGAGUUGGACGAAGAAUGUCUAUUACAGAUCCUAAUUGAAGUAGCGAUUAUCCAGCUGUAUCCUGGGCUGAUGAGGAGUAGGUUUCUGGACAACUUAAACAGAUCCAAGUUAGUCGAUCCUAAUCUCAAUAAUGGAGAAAGGGAGUACAGUUGAUAUUCUGUAACUGACAACAGUUCGCGCAACGCAUACUAUUUUUCUCCGCCAAUCUUAUACCGUUGGUAGAUCUCUUUCCUAAUGACAGUACUAAACCCAGGGAAACUGUCAUCAGGCGAACUGCGGCGUUCUGCUGGCAAAACAUAGCUUCGUUAUGUCAAGGCUAUUGGAUUGUCCAUGAAGCGAAAAAUAGUUUACUGUGUCACUCGUACCGAUAACCGCAUCAGUCUCUAGUAGUAGCCUAUGCCAUUGAGCAUAUAGUUCAGGGAAUUCGGCCAAUUAGAGCUGUAACUUCGGGAUAAAGCUUGGCUCUGAUGAAAAUCAAACCGAUUGUUACGCGAGAGCCAACUGUUAAUAAAAACGUAGUGUCGCGCUGGUAGUAUAGCCAGUGAACGACAUGAAUCCUGCUCAGUGCUGUCUGUUAAUAUGGUUCAAGCCAACGAAGCACCGGUAAAUAGCUGGGGUAAUAGACUCUUAUCAAAGUAGCGAAAUACCUCGUCACUUAAUGUGACCUGCAGAACGGAGCUAUGAGGUUCUCACUGUCCCAAACUGUCUCUCAGCGAACCAACUGUAUGGAACGGUCACUAGAUAUCCAGCGGGAAAGAAGACCUGUAGAGCUUCACUUUGGUCUAUCUGUAUAAGUUCCUGCGGGUGUAGACUAGUGGGAGAGCAAUCGAUCUGAAAAAACCACUACCCUGUUGGAAUUAUGCUUACCUAUCACAAGGAAUAGGACUAGAUAGAAUUGGCGGGGCGCACACCUUCGAAAGAGCAGCGAAGGUUCCUAAGUUGAGCUCAGUGAGGACAGAAUCUCACGUUGAGGAUAAGCCAAAAGCUCAAUUACUGUGCCUUUUGUCUAGGAUCAUUACGAAAGUAAGGCAACGAUCCCUAAAUAGCCUAGGUGCUGAGAUUGGGUACAGACAAUACCUCCGGACAACUGGCUUGUGCUGCUAAGAGAUCAAAUCAACGCAGCUUUUAUUUCGAUGUCGGCUCUCCUAUCCUAUGAUGUACAAGUUGCUAAGGUCGGAUUGUUCACCCGUAUUAGGGAUCGUGGAGCUGGUUAGACCGUCGGACCAGUUUUUUAUCCUACUGAUAUAGACAUGAGUAGAUUGAUUAGUACGAAGGAACUGUUGAUUAUGCCUCUGUUAGCGAUUAUCGGAAACGGUAGUCGCGCAUCUACGCCGUCUGGAUAAUGGCUGAAGCCCUUAAGCCAGAAGCCCAUCUAGAAAGUGAUGCACUGAUGUGACCGAUACGAAUAAUCAUACUCAAAAGGUCCGCUCAUAGUAACCCAAUGUGAAGACAUGUGUGAACGAAGGACUGUAAGCAAGGAGUGCAUUACGUCCACACCUGUUGAGUUCAGCUUCGCUUCUAGGUUUCCAAAUAUUUU
rnacentral:rRNA from 1 species